GACGAACGCUGGCGGCGUGCUUAACACAUGCAAGUCGAACGGUAAGGCCCUUCGGGGUACACGAGUGGCGAACGGGUGAGUAACACGUGGGUGAUCUGCCCUGCACUUCGGGAUAAGCCUGGGAAACUGGGUCUAAUACCGGAUAGGACCACUGCCUGCAUGGGUGGUGGUGGAAAGCUUUUGCGGUGUGGGAUGGGCCCGCGGCCUAUCAGCUUGGUGGUGGGGUGAUGGCCUACCAAGGCGACGACGGGUAGCCGGCCUGAGAGGGUGACCGGCCACACUGGGACUGAGAUACGGCCCAGACUCCUACGGGAGGCAGCAGUGGGGAAUAUUGCACGAUGGGCGCAAGCCUGAUGCAGCGACGCCGCGUGAGGGAUGACGGCCUUCGGGUUGUAAACCUCUUUCAGCACCGACGAAGCGCAAGUGACGGUAGGUGCAGAAGAAGGACCGGCCAACUACGUGCCAGCAGCCGCCGUAA
rnacentral:rRNA from 1 species